rnacentral:rRNA from 1 species
AUUAAACGCUGGCGGCAUGCCUUACACAUGCAAGUCGAACGGCAGCGGGCCCUCGGGUGCCGGCGAGUGGCGAACGGGUGAGUAAUGCAUCGGAACGUGCCAUUGAGUGGGGGAUAACGUAGCGAAAGUUGCGCUAAUACCGCAUAUUCUGUGAGCAGGAAAGCAGGGGACCGCAAGGCCUUGCGCUCUUUGAGCGGCCGAUGUCAGAUUAGCUAGUUGGUGAGGUAAAGGCUUACCAAGGCGACGAUCUGUAGCGGGUCUGAGAGGAUGAUCCGCCACACUGGAACUGAGACACGGUCCAGACUCCUACGGGAGGCAGCAGUGGGGAAUUUUGGACAAUGGGGGCAACCCUGAUCCAGCCAUGCCGCGUGAGUGAAGAAGGCCU